rnacentral:rRNA from 1 species
UACGUAGGGGGCAAGCGUUGUCCGGAAUCAUUGGGCGUAAAGCGCGUGUAGGCGGCUCGGUAAGUCUGCUGUGAAAGUCCAGGGCUCAACCCUGGGAUGCCGGUGGAUACUGUCGAGCUCGAGUCCGGAAGAGGCGAGUGGAAUUCCUGGUGUAGCGGUGAAAUGCGCAGAUAUCAGGAGGAACACCAAUGGCGAAGGCAGCUCGCGGGGACGGUACUGACGCUGAGACGCGAAAGCGUGGGGAGCAAACAGG